GACUGUGGUGGCAUAGUGGUUAGAGCGUCCGUCUCGGAUGCUGGAAGUCGCAGGUUUGAAUCCCUGCAGAGUCA